rnacentral:tRNA from 1 species
GAGCCCGUGGCUCAAUGGUUAGAGCGUUUGAUUUCAGAUCAACGGGUCGCGGGUUCG